UACGGGGGGAGCAAGCGUUGUUCGGAUUUACUGGGCGUAAAGGGCGCGUAGGCGGUCAGCACAAGUCAGUUGUGAAAUCUCCGGGCUUAACUCGGAAAGGUCAACUGAUACUGUGCGACUAGAGUGCAGAAGGGGCAACUGGAAUUCUCGGUGUAGCGGUGAAAUGCGUAGAUAUCGAGAGGAACACCUGCGGCGAAGGCGAGUCUCUGGACAGUUACCGACGCUGAGGCACGAAGGUCAGGGGAGCAAACGGG
rnacentral:rRNA from 1 species